AUUGAACGCUGGCGGCAGGCCUAACACAUGCAAGUCGAACGAGUGGCGGACGGGUGAGUAAUGUCUGGGAAACUGCCCGAUGGAGGGGGAUAACUACUGGAAACGGUAGCUAAUACCGCAUACCAUCGGAUGUGCCCAGAUGGGAUUAGCUAGUAGGUGGGGUAACGGCUAACCUAGGCGACGAUCCCUAGCUGGUCUGAGAGGAUGACCAGCCACACGGGAACUGGGACACGGUCCAGACGCCUACGGAAGGAAGCAUGGGGGAAGAGUGCACAAUGGGCGCAAGCCUGAUGCAGCCAUGCCGCGUGUAUGAAGAAGGCCUGCGGGUGGUAAAGUACUUUCAGCGAGGAGGCGUUACUCGCAGAAGAAGCACCGGCUAACUCCGUGCCAGCAGCCGCGGUAAUUC
rnacentral:rRNA from 1 species